GGCGAACGCUGGCGGCAGGCCUAACACAUGCAAGUCGAACGGACCCUUCGGGGUUAGUGGCGGACGGGUGAGUAACACGUGGGAACGUGCCUUUAGGUUCGGAAUAGCUCCUGGAAACGGGUGGUAAUGCCGAAUGUGCCCUUCGGGGGAAAGAUUUAUCGCCUUUAGAGCGGCCCGCGUCUGAUUAGCUAGUUGGUGAGGUAAAGGCUCACCAAGGCGACGAUCAGUAGCUGGUCUGAGAGGAUGACCAGCCACAUUGGGACUGAGACACGGCCCAAACUCCGACGGGAGGCAGCAGUGGGGAAUCUUGCGCAAUGGGCGAAAGCCUGACGCAGCCAUGCCGCGAGAAUGAUGAAGGUCUUAGGAUUGUAAAAUUCUUUCACCGGGGACGAUAAUGACGGUACCCGGAGAAGAAGCCCCGGCUAACUUCGUGCCAGCAGCCGCCGUAAUAC
rnacentral:rRNA from 1 species